AUUGAACGCUGGCGGCGUGCUUAACACAUGCAAGUCGAACGAUGAAGCUGGAGCUUGCUCCGGUGGAUUAGUGGCGAACGGGUGAGUAACACGUGAGCAAUCUGCCCUUCACUCUGGGAUAACUGCGGGAAACUGUAGCUAAUACCGGAUACGAGGCUUGGAGGCAUCUCCAGGUCUGGAAAGAAUUUCGGUGAAGGAUGAGCUCGCGGCCUAUCAGCUUGUUGGUGAGGUAAUGGCUCACCAAGGCGACGACGGGUAGCCGGCCUGAGAGGGUGACCGGCCACACUGGGACUGAGACACGGCCCAGACUCCUACGGGAGGCAGCAGUGGGGAAUAUUGCACAAUGGGCGAAAGCCUGAUGCAGCAACGCCGCGUGAGGGAUGAAGGCCUUCGGGUUGUAAACCUCUUUUAGCAGGGAAGAAGCGAAAGUGACGGUACCUGCAGAAAAAGCACCGGCUAACUACGUGCCAGCCGCCGCCGUAA
rnacentral:rRNA from 1 species